AACGGAUCCUUCGGGAUUAGUGGCGGACGGGUGAGUAACACGUGGGAACGUGCCUUUUGGUUCGGAACAACUCAGGGAAACUUGAGCUAAUACCGGAUAAGCCUUUCGAGGGAAAGAUUUAUCGCCAUUAGAGCGGCCCGCGUAGGAUUAGCUAGUUGGUGGGGUAAAGGCCCACCAAGGCUACGAUCCUUAGCUGGUCUGAGAGGAUGAUCAGCCACAUUGGGACUGAGACACGGCCCAAACUCCUACGGGAGGCAGCAGUGGGGAAUCUUGCGCAAUGGGCGAAAGCCUGACGCAGCCAUGCCGCGUGAAUGAUGAAGGUCUUAGGAUUGUAAAAUUCUUUCACCGGGGACGAUAAUGACGGUACCCGGAGAAGAAGCCCCGGCUAACUUCGUGCCAGCAGCCGCGGUAAUACGAAGGGGGCUAGCGUUGCUCGGAAUUACUGGGCGUAAAGGGAGCGUAGGCGGAUAGUUUAGUCAGAGGUGAAAGCCCAGGGCUCAACCUUGGAAUUGCCUUUGAUACUGGCUAUCUUGAGUACGGAAGAGGUAUGUGGAACUCCGAGUGUAGAGGUGAAAUUCGUAGAUAUUCGGAAGAACACCAGUGGCGAAGGCGACAUACUGGUCCGUUACUGACGCUGAGGCUCGAAAGCGUGGGGAGCAAACAGGAUUAGAUACCCUGGUAGUCCACGCUGUAAACGAUGAGUGCUAGUUGUCGGCAGGCAUGCCUGUCGGUGACGCAGCUAACGCAUUAAGCACUCCGCCUGGGGAGUACGGUCGCAAGAUUAAAACUCAAAGGAAUUGACGGGGGCCCGCACAAGCGGUGGAGC
rnacentral:rRNA from 1 species